GGCCUCUGCUCGCGGUCCCCGGCAGGCGCUGAAGGAAGAAAUCCUAGGGCCGAUUUGGGCCGUUGAGAGAGCAGCAUUCUGACUCUGAAAGCAUCCCCCCCACCCCCAAGCCCCCAAUCCGCAGAGGAAGAUCCUGGGCGAAUUUGAUUGGGGGGCGGGGUGAUUGUUACAGCCUCAACAGGAAGCUCCCGGCUCCGGGACAGCAGGCCGGGCACUGCGGCGUGGCGGCCCAGGUGAUGCCGGUGGCGGUUGCGGGGCGCCCGGGGCUCUGAGGAGCCGGCCUGGGGUCCUGGAGCGAUUCUGGGGACAGGAGCUGGUCCCGCUGGGGCUGGGGAGGGAGGACGACAGCGGAUUCAGAAGAAUGGGCCGAAAGAUGCAUGGGGGGGAUGGGAGUGGGGGAAAAGGAAGGUUAUUUAAAAAAAAAAAAACUCUUGAGUUACAAUCAAUAAAAUUACUCGCUUAAUUAGCAUGGUUAUUCGGUUAAGCGGAAUGCAGUAAAAGCUGGAUCUCGGCAUGAGGUGGGGAGAGAGAGUGAGCGAGCGUGGACCCCAGGCCUUUUCCUCCGAGACACCUUUGGGCAGCGGGGGAGGGGAGAGGGUGUGCGUGUGAGUGUGUGUGUGUGUGCGCGAGUGUGCGUGAUGGCUUCGCAGAUUUGGGUUUUUAUCACCCAGCAGAGCCAGCAGCCUCUUCGCCGCGGUGCCCUCGCUGCAGGGACCCGCGGGAACGAGAACAGGAGGCGGCUAGCAGCGCGGCUGGGUUCCCCCAGCUGCCCCGGGCCAAGCGUGGCCGGGACGACCAUGAACCCGCACAGCGGCCGCCGGCUCGGUGCGCGGCCACCCGCCGAGAAGCCCAGUCCUCCCGUGUGCUGACCGGCCCCGCCGCCACCACCGCCUGUGAUCCCGGACGCCGCC
rnacentral:lncRNA from 1 species